ensembl:misc_RNA Metazoa_SRP Metazoan signal recognition particle RNA
UCUUUAGGUUAUAUUAGCUGUAGUCCCAGCUAAUUGGGAGGCUGAGACAGGAGGAUCGCUUGAGUCCAGGAAUUCUGGGCUGCAGUGUGCUAUGCCGAUCGGGUGUCCACACUAAGUUCGGCAUCAAUAUGGUGACCUUCCGGGAGUGGGGGGCGGGAGGCACCAGGUUGCCUAAGGAGGGGUGAACAGGCCCAGGUUGGAAAUGGAGCAGGUCAAAACUCCUGUGCUGAUCAAUAGGCAACUAUUUUUCAAAAGAAGAUAUACAAAUAUAUACUAAGUACAAGAAAAUGUGUUCUAUAUCAU